rnacentral:lncRNA from 1 species
AAUGUAACUUCUCUUUUACAGAGCCACCUAAGCUGAAGAUUCCCUUGAGAACAAGUACUGUCCUGCGGUUUCAUGGCCUUUCUUCCAUUUGUGGUUCUUGCGAAGUGGAAUUUAAAUGACAUCUUAUCAAGAUGGAUAAACCCUAGUUUCCCAGUGCUGGAAUAUAGAAAAUGGAUGGACAAGUAAAUCCCACUCAGCACCCAUAGUCCAGGCAUGGGGACCUCAACACACCUGAGCCCCAGACAUCACCUUUCAUUCUGGAUCUACCAUGAAAGACUUCUGAAUCCAGGAAGAGAGACUGACUGGGCAACAUGUUAUU